GUCGCGUAGCAAAAUAUGCCAGCUCGGCACCGUAUUGGGGGAGCGUCUGCUAUCAUUUUCAUGUUGUUGGAAACUCAACAAUUAGUUUUUGCAAGUAGCACGCAUUUGGUUGGUGGGAGCAGGAGCACAAAGAGCGUAGCACUACACAAAACGAAGCGGAAGAGGAGGAGAUAAAAUAAUAGAAAAAACGUUCUCCAAUUACCAAUACCUUCGGCAAUGUUUUUCACAUUUUCACACAAAGCGCGCACACGAAAGUACAUAAAAUAUAAAGCAAAACGUUGUGGUAUCUUUGUUAAGCACUUUGCAACUAUUUUAAACGAAUAAAUUACUAAAUAAAUACGUUAAAA